CUAUGGAAGCGAAGAAAAUAGUGCUGGAGAUAACGCUCUACAAUGAAGAUGACAGGAAAAAAGCCAUGACUAUAGUUUCUAAACUACCAGGGGUGAGUUCAAUUUCCAUGGAAAUGAAAGAAAAGAAAAUGACAGUGAUCGGGGAAGUUGAUCCAAUAUGCAUGGUGCGAAAACUAAGAAGGUUUCGUCAAACACAAAUAAUCUCAGUGGGGCCACCAAAAGAAGAGGAGAAAAAGAAGGCCGAAGAUAAAAUUGAAGAGGUUCUCAACUACUACAGAUAUAAUGUUCCAUCUUAUUGGGUUCAACCAUAUGAACAGCCUCCUUCUUGUGUUAUUUCUU